rnacentral:tRNA from 1 species
GCCUAGGUAGCUCAAAGGUAGAGCAGGGGUUUUGUAAACCUCAGGUUGAAGGUUCGAUUCCUUUCCUGGGCU